AUGUCAAUUUCUGGGGUUUUAUACGCUUGAUAACAUCAUUAUAAUCCAAAAAAUAUAUUAAAAAUCAACAAUAUGUAGGCAUAUUUAAAAUCACUAAUUAAAUAUGUACAAAUACGAUUAAAAUAUGGUCAAUUUGACCCUAUAAUGGGUUUCAUUCGCACCCUAGUGGUAAUUUAUAUGCUCAUUUACAUAACGUUAUAUGUGGCACUAGUUGGAGCACUGUACUAUGUACGAAGCGUUAUCAUAUCGAAUCAAGAGAUAUCAGAAAACAUGUACCUACUGAACAAUUAAAUAAAAGACAAGAUGUAUUCACGUGGGAUUUAAUUACAAAACUACAAAAGGCACAAAAUGGACGGCAGUACAGAGUAAAAUAUUACAGUACUUUGGAAUGUUAAUUAAUUGUUAUAUACCCUUUUUUACUUAAAGUUAAUGAAAUAGAUUAGAAACUUAGUGUAAGGCC